UCACCGAAAUUUACCCCCCACAAAACCAAGAUAACAACACCAGCCGCAGGCUCAUUGAUCUACUCUUUCAGUAGCGAAGGAAAGCAAGAAAAAAAACCCUAAUUCCUAAUCCGAAACCCCAAUCGUCAACAUCAUCUCUGCUCAUGGCGGGUAAGAAGCGAAAGGCCCGCCCUUCCGAGCCCGAACCCUCCGCCGCACCUCCAAUCGAAAUCCAGCCUCCGCCUCUGGAGGAGGUCGAAGCUGAACCGGAAGAACAAGUACAAGAAGAACAGAUCGAAGCCGAACCGGAACAACAACAACAACAGACCAUUGAAGAAGAGCACGAAUUGGAACAAGAAGAAGAGGAUCCCGCGGAAAACAUGGAGGACAACGACAACGGAGGAGAACAAGAAGAAGCCCUAGAAGCCGCCGGCGAAGCAAUAAAGACGGAACAGGAUGCCAAUGGCGGCGUCAAGGGAGAGAAGGAAGAGAAGGAGGAGGAGGAGGAGGAGGAAUUGGAAGAAGAGCCCGUCGAGAAGAUUCUAGAACCUUUCGGGAAGGAGCAGCUGGUGGUUCUUGUCAAGGAGGCUGUUUCGAAGCACCCCGAAUUGAUGGAGCUUCUCCACAAGCUGGCUGACGCGGACCCCGCUCACCGCAAGAUCUUUGUCCACGGCCUCGGCUGGGACACCACUGCCGAAACCCUAACCAGCGUGUUUGGGAAGUACGGAGAGAUUGAGGACUGCAAGGCUGUGGUCGAUAAGGUCUCUGGUAAGUCCAAGGGUUAUGCUUUUAUUCUGUUUAAGCACCGGAGUGGGGCCCGAAAGGCCCUCAAACAGCCCCAGAAGAAUAUAGGGGAUCGCGUGACGUCGUGCCAGUUGGCCUCGGCUGGGCCGGUCCCGGCUCCUCCCCCCACGGCCCCGCCUGUUUCCGAGUACACCCAGCGAAAGAUUUUCGUGAGUAAUGUGUCUGCUGAGGUUGAUAUUCAGAAGCUUGUAGAGUUCUUUUCGAAGUUCGGUGAGAUUGAGGAUGGGCCUUUGGGAUUAGAUAAGCAAACUGGGAAGCCCAAAGGGUUCUGUCUUUUCGUGUAUAAGUCGGUUGAGAGCGCAAAGAAAGCACUGGAAGAGCCUCACAAGAACUUUGAUGGUGUGACUCUGCAUUGCCAGAAGGCAAUUGAUGGUCCUAAACCGGGUAAGCCGCAUUUUCAGCAGCAGCAGCAACAUCAUCAUCCUCAUCACCAGCAGUACCAUCCUUACUCUUCGAGGAAAGACAAGAAUAAGUAUCCAACUGGUGGUGGGGCUGGACCCGGACACUUGAUGGCUCCGUCCCGACCUUCCAUGAGUUUCAAUCCUGCUGUUGCAGCGGCGCCUGCAUUGAGCCCGGCUCUUGGGCAGGCGUUGACUGCUCUUCUUGCUUCUCAGGGAGCUGGGUUGGGGCUCAAUAACCUGCUUGGGGGACUUGGUGCACCCAUGAGCCAGGGAGUACCCCAAGUGAUGAACAAUCCUGGUGGGUAUGGAAAUCAGGCUGGUGCCAGCUACGGAAAUCAGCAAGUGAUGCAGGGUGGGUAUCAGAACCCACAAAUGGGGCAAGGUGGUGCUGGUAGGACGCAGCCUGGAGGUGGUGCGCCAUACAUGGGCCACGGUCACUAGGUAUUGGGAGGAUGAGAUUGUCUUGUGGAUAUUGUGAUUUUUAGUUCUCCACAACGGUGGGUUGCCAUUGAUAUUUAUUUCUCCAUGGUUCCUUGCACCUCUGUUGACAUCAUACCCUUUAAUAAAGCAGUAGGACAUUUCCCGUCUAAUUGGAUGAUUCCUCCAUAGAUGCAUCAAACUUUUAUUUUGGACUGGUGAUUCUUCUGAAGUUCAAGCACAUAGGCAAACAACGAUUUCUAUUGGUAGCAAAAAGUACUGUUUGCCUAAAGAUCAGAGUCUUAAAACUGUAUUUUUCUUUCUAUCCAAGUACUUAUGUUCCUUCUAGUGUUUUUCAAUAACGUGUAUUUCGACUCCAAUGUUUUUUGUUCUAAAGAAGUAUUGGUGGAGCAGGUGAUUUUAAAGUGGCUAGGCAGCAACUAUUUUCCGAUUUGACUAAAUUUGAAUAAUGGAUUCUUCUGCUUGAUUUUA